UACAGAGGUCCCAAGCGUUGUUCGGAUUCACUGGGCGUAAAGGGUGCGUAGGCGGUCGGGUAAGUCUGAUGUGAAAUCUCACAGCUUAACUGUGAAACUGCAUUGGAUACUAUCCGGCUCGAGGAAUGGAGGGGAGACUGGAAUACUUGGUGUAGCAGUGAAAUGCGUAGAUAUCAAGUGGAACACCAGUGGCGAAGGCGAGUCUCUGGACAUUUCCUGACGCUGAUGCACGAAAGCUGGGGGAGCAAACAGG
rnacentral:rRNA from 1 species